rnacentral:rRNA from 1 species
UUGGAGGGCAAGUCUGGUGCCAGCAGCCGCGGUAAUUCCAGCUCUAAUAGCGUAUAUUAAAGUUGUUGCAGUUAAAAAGCUCGUAGUUGGAUUUCGGGAUCAAUGUUUCGGUCAUGCCGUUGGUAUGUACUGAUAUUAUUGGUUUCUCACCUUCUAAAGAACCGUAAUGCCAUUAAUUUGGUGUCACGGGGAAUUAGGACUGUUACCUUGAAAAAAUUAGAGUGUUUAAAGCAGGCUCACGCUUGAAUACAUUAGCAUGGAAUAAUGAAAUAGGACAUCCGAUUCUAUUUUGUUGGUUUCUAGGAUCGAUGUAAUGAUUAAUAGGGAUAGUUGGGGGCAUUAGUAUUCAAUUGUCAGAGGUGAAAUACUUGGAUUUAUUGAAGACUAACUACUGCGAAAGCAUUUGCCAAGGAUGUUUUCAUUAAUCAAGAACGAAAGUUAGGGGAUCGAAGACGAUCAGAUACCGUCGUAGUCUUAACCAUAAACUAUGCCGACUAGGAAUCAGACGAUGUUAAUUUUCUAAUGACUCGUUUGGCACCUUACGGGAAACCAAAGUGUUUGGGUUC